rnacentral:rRNA from 1 species
CCUACGGGGGGCUGCAGUGGGGAAUAUUGGACAAUGGGGGCAACCCUGAUCCAGCCAUGCCGCGUGUGUGAAGAAGGCCCUCGGGUUGUAAAGCACUUUCAGUGAGGAAGAACGCCUGGUGGUUAAUACCCAUCAGGAAAGACAUCACUCACAGAAGAAGCACCGGCUAACUCCGUGCCAGCAGCCGCGGUAAUACGGAGGGUGCGAGCGUUAAUCGGAAUUACUGGGCGUAAAGCGCGCGUAGGUGGCUUGAUAAGCCGGUUGUGAAAGCCCCGGGCUCAACCUGGGAACGGCAUCCGGAACUGUCAAGCUAGAGUGCAGGAGAGGAAGGUAGAAUUCCCGGUGUAGAGGUGAAAUGCGUAGAGAUCGGGAGGAAUACCAGUGGCGAAGGCGGCCUUCUGGACUGACACUGACACUGAGGUGCGAAAGCGUGGGUAGCAAACAGGAUUAGAUACCCGGGUAGUC